rnacentral:rRNA from 1 species
UGAGUAACCUGCCCUUGACUCUGGGAUAAGCCUGGGAAACCGGGUCUAAUACCGGAUAUGACUGCCGGCCGCAUGGCCUGGUGGUGGAAAGCUUUAUUGCGGUUUUGGAUGGACUCGCGGCCUAUCAGCUUGUUGGCGGGGUAAUGGCCCACCAAGGCGGCGACGGGUAGCCGGCCUGAGAGGGUGACCGGCCACACUGGGACUGAGACACGGCCCAGACCUCCGUACGGGAGGCAG